CCCACAGAUCCUGACCUUGAAGGUAAGCUUCCAUACACAUUCUCCAGUAAUUAUAAUUUGUGCCUACAAGCUUCUCAACACCCUGCUGCGUGGAAGAGUUGUUUCCUCCAUUAAUAAACUCCAUCUGGAAAUGAACAGUUUUCUUCAACUUUCAAACUUCUCCAACGAGACAAACUUCGAUAGACAAGAAGAGUGAAAACAAAUGGAAUUUUUAACGAGGCUCUGAUACCAUGAAACAAAACAAGAAUUGUGAAGAGCAAACAACUGGGAAAAUGUUGGAAAAGAUUUUAUUUCCUUUGCCCACUUUUUAGUCAAAUGCAUGGGUCUUUAUAUACAAGAAAAAUAUAACAAACUAAUGCUAACAACCUCCUACCAGAUUGGAGCAAUAAGCUCUUUUAUUGACACAUAUUUAACUGAUUCAGUCAAACCAGAAAAAAUAGGAACCGAGAAAUUCUACUGACUUAUUCAAUAAUAAAACAGGAGACUAACUAAAACUAAAAACUAGUUCAGUAAGUACACACUAAUUUUUUAUAACCCUCAAAACUCCGACUAACCAGUAGAUAAAAAACUAACCACCAACAAACCACCCCACAACAGAUCGGAUUAGAAAAAUUAUCGACAAACUCCAUCAACCACCAACAAAUUCAGUUGCACACAGAGGAAGAAACCACCAUGCAAAAAUUGCGAUGCCACUACUCGCAAUGGCACGACAGUGCUCAAUGUUGCUUCGCACGGGACUGUGCCAAUGCAUACAGUUGCACACCGCCAAUUUGCCAUACUUGAUAAGUAGCAACAGCGACUAUUGAGACGAUCUGUGGAUGGUGUGAUCUGUGGACGGGAUGAGGUGGUGGUGGUGGUGCAAGUGGUGAUAAUGUGGCCGUGGAGGUGAUGGUUAGGCGGCCAUGGCGACAGUUGUGAAUUUGAAUAAAGAGAGAGAAAUAGAGAGGGAGGAGAAGAGGAG
rnacentral:lncRNA from 1 species